ensembl:lncRNA
UUUAUCUUAUUGGAUUGACUUAGUUUUGUAUAGCUGUGCAUUAUUAGGAGAACAGUAGAGCCAAGUGUAGAAGUAGUGCUACAGAAGGACACCAACAUCUGGUGGGUGGAGAAGGACCCUCUCCUGAAUUUGCAUGAUUGUUAACUAAAUAUAAAGUUCAUCAAAUGAUUUCUAGUUGUUUUGACUCCAGUACUCUUUCCUUUUUACUCCAUAAUACUUUUUUGGCUAGUAGUAAUGUCCUUUCUGAAAAUCUAUGAUUUCCUCAAUGCAGGUGAAUAUUAUGUAGAGGCAUCAAAUUAAAUUAUUGGCAUUUUUUUUUUUUUCACACUAUCAAUAGUAGCAAGGUCGCCAUUCUAUGAUGUGACUAAUUAGGAAGAUUGAAGUGUCUUUUGUGGGAUCUUCCCUUGCUCUUUGGUGGGACGUGAGGGCUGCUCAAUGGCCAUGGUGUGAGGCGUGGGCAGCACAGGAGGGGCUGCCCUUGGUUUCUACUGGAAUUUCUGUUGAGAUCAGGGCAACGUGAAUGAGCAAAGUAGGGCAAACAGGUGGCUGCUGUGUGAAAGAAAAUACCAUGAGUAACACUGCUGUGUAUGAGUGUGGUGGGGUGUCGGUGUGCACACAGAGAUUGGCUUGUCGAGGAGCAGCUCUCACAUCCUGGGGUCCUUGAAAUGAUCGUCAGAGGUUAAUAGUCUUGGUCAGAAUGCUCUGCAGAAAGAUUUCUUGCCCUGGGAAUUGUUGUGCGCAGUUGUCUCAUUUUCCUUUCCUCUCUUGAAAGCCAAUGUUAUCUUGUCCAUUCAACCCCGUAAAGUAUCCCCAGGUUAUCAAGUUCUUCUCAUAUUGCAGCAAAACUUGAAAUAAUUACCAAUUCAGCUUCACUAUUUCUGUCAGCUUAAAAAAAAAAAAAAAAAGAAAAGAAAUUUAAUUUACACUAAUUACUCAGAACUUGAGAUGCUCAGCAUGAAAGUGGCUAGGUGCAAAAUAGGAUUAAAUAUGUAAAGGAGAAAAAAGCAUUGUGUGUUGCAUUUUUCCUAUUUAAUGCUCUGUUUGUAUGUCAUUACCAAGCCAUCUGCAAGCAGAAUUCUCCUAGCAGACUGAAGCAGUUCUUCAAGAAAAAAAUUAAAAAUAAGAACAGUCAGGCUGAUAAUUUAAAAACAAAGAUUUGGUGUGAACAGAUUAAGAUGGGAGAGUUGUACUGAAAUGUCAUUAUUGCAGGCUUACCUUCUCUUAACUGUGGUACUCUGUGGUCCCCGGUAUGAUCUGAGGAGCCAAGCAAUGGGCAUGCUUUCUCCAUAUUUUGUUGCUGAAACACGAACACUUUGCAUCCCCAAAACUUCUGUGCGUGUGUCUGUGUGUGUAGGGGGAAGGGGGAAGUCAUCCUCUAGGUUACACUGAAGGUUGCAUAACGUAACAUCAGAGGUACAGGGACCGAGCUCCUCAUUGCAGAUAUGAGUUUUAGUAUGGAUUUCACUGGAGAGCAUUAGUGUUGUUCCUGUAAUUGUUCUCAACUCUACCGCUUGUCCUGUGUGGAUGUGUAACAGCUGUGGCACAGUCAGAUCACAGUUCAUAAUGCUUCUGCUCUUUGGGGAAUGAGAAAUAAAAGCUUUUGUGCAGUCCCAGAUGAGAGUGGCCACAGAGGUGGGCUGAACGCACCGUCACUCCUGCUGAGGUGAGCGCAGUUCUGCACUGCUAUUGCCAUGGUACGCAUCUCUUUGGAAGCACCAGCACAACACAUAUUUGUGAUCCAGAGAGUUUGUCUCACCAUCCAGAAAUGCGUAUGUUCUCUUUCUUCACCUCAGCUGACCCUGGCUUUGAACCCUCCCAAACCUUGGAGAUGUUUAUAGCUGCGCUUUGUUUUGUGAAUGGAAUUUGUUUUUCUAAGUGCAGCAUGAAGAUUUGCUUUAUCUGCAUGGAGCAUGCUUGCUUGAGCAGUUGCUUUCCACAGUGUGGCAUUUGUAGAUUAAAAUCUUUUCUGCCUUGGUGGUGCCGAUUCAGUUCAUUCUGCAGCUAGUCCAUUUUGCUAGCAUGCUACAGUAAGGUGCCUGGCUGCUGCAGUGAGAAAGGGAAUUUUUUUUCAUUUCCUCUGAGGUGUAGAUUUGAAAUGAAACUAUUUUUUUAAGGUAAUCUGAAAACUAGAAUGACACUCCAUGCUUCAACGCGUGUUUCGUUUCACCUGUAAAACUACUUUUAAUUCUUGUGUUUGCACUUGGAACUUGAACGCUUUACACUGACACUAGAAAUGACAGCCCUGUGCAUAGAAUGUACGUUUUAUUUUAUUUUGGCAUAUUUUACUGUCCACCAGGUGUUGAUCAGAGAAUUCAGCAGUAUACAGCUGCUGUGAUGUAGUUACUGUAUGUAAUACUCUACCUAAGGAAACACGGUCUAGUGACUAGCUGGAUGGGAGGGGUUUGAUGCCCGCAGAUUCAGUUCCUGGUUCUGCUACACAGCUCAUGCGUUUGGGGUAAGGUUCACACCACCUUACACUGAUUUUCAUGUGAGUUAAAUUCAUAAAUACGAGUUGUGCACAAAAAUACCCUCGCUGCGCAAUAUUCUCUUUAUGUCGGUAACGCUUCCUCACCUGACUGAGAUGUCACGUAGGCAGAUGCUGUGUUCUGCUUUUGAUCCAUACAGAGCCAGUAGGUGCUCUGUACUAACACCAAUUGCAAGACUUGAACCUUUUGUGUUUUUUUGGUGUGCUUUUAAGUGGCCGUUCUCUGAGCGAUCAAUAAUUGCGCUACUUACCAUGAGUACACUGCUGUUAAAGACCAUACAGCAGUCAGGCUACAUGCAGCUUCAGGGCCCAGUUCUGUCUCCUUUGCUUGGGAGUGAAAACAGCUAGGCUAAAGCAGAAUCAGAGACUACGAUGCUGAGAAGGGCAACUUGUGUAGAUCUGGGUCCAAAUGUUAAAUGCCCUGUUUAGAAUAAGAAGGGGUACGUUUUUUCCUCCCAAACAAACUGGUAGAAUUCAAAGUGGAUGUUUGUAAUUUAAGAUAUUGUGUUGUGUUGAGUGUUAAACAGCAGUGUUGAAGAGUGCAGGGAAAAGAUAUUUCUGCUGUGGUAAGAACUAAUACGAGCAGUGCAGAAUGCCCUGGUAUUACCCUGGCUUUUUUUUUUUUUUCCAACUUUGUGAAAUAUGCAUUUUGAAGUAUCUAGGCAGUUCGGAGAGUAACUGAACUGAGUAAAGUCUGGCAUAAGAUAGCAAGUGGGAACCCUAGAAAAUGUUUGUGGAUCUGUAGGGCACAGCAAUGCUUCCUGCCAGAGGAAGGCCCUAAGGACUCUCAUAGGCCUUGCCUGGAAGACUGUGUGGCAUCUGUGGCACGUAUGGGUCAUCAAGACAUCACAGGCAGCCCCAGAGCCACGCCUGUUCAUAGCAGACGAUGGUAUAGUCCUGAGCAGCCAUCAAGAUGCAGGGAAUGGGAGCAGGUGACCUCCAGACGUCCCCUCCAGCCUCAGCAUUGUGACCUGUCCCUCUGUGCCCAAGGACAGUGCAGUUACCUUGGCUUCUGACCUGGUUGGGAUGUUGUAGCAGAGCUCUGAGAAUAGCAAUUUGGGAAUCAGAGCUGGCUGUGGUGAGGAGUGCUUCAAAGUUAGUCUCUGCUAAGUUCUUUCAUCAGCAAUGCAUGCACCUCACUGAUGGACCUCUCUAGGAAACGUUGCUCAUCCCUGCUUCAUAACCAGACCUCGCAGCUUUUCACAGCUCUGCCCCCAGCUGCUUUGACUGGGUGAUGCCACAGGAUUGGGGCUGUGAAAGCAGCAGGGAGGGCUGUGCUAAUUUAGAUGAUUUAAAUAAUUGUGCUCUUGAUACUGCCCACUUACUUCUGUUUUGCCAGUGACCCUUCUGGCAUAUUCAGUAGGAUGUGCUGCCCGCUGGCCGUCCUUUCUGCUCAUCUCAUCUCCUGCCCUAGCAGUUCUUAUUGCUGGAAUGCUUCCUGCAUGCUGCAGCACCCAUCCUUCCCAGACACCUCGUUGUGAGCUGCUUAGCAAAUGCAGAGAAUCCUGUGAUGGGCAGAAAACAUAGCAUAUAGACCCAGUGAAAAGGGGAGCCCACCCUGGGCCAAGUAUCUGCCAGGUGUACCUCAUGCUUUCUUCACAAAACCUUCAAGUGCAACUUUAAUUCCAGGCAGAUUCCUAAGUUGUAGUGAAAUCCCUGGGUCCUGCACAUGCUCUUUAAUAUAGGCGUACAUUGUGAAUAGAAACAGCUUAAUGAACUGGAGCCAGGGUGGGGAAUUUUGGGACUCCUGCUGUUCUGCUUACAGUGUUUUGCAGGAGAGUUUAAGGCUGAGGAAUGACACCAACUGGAUUCACAGAACAAUCUGCUCCUGUUCUCACGAACUCCAAAUUAUUUUCCUUCUCACAUGCAAAGUUGUACCAAGAGUUGCAUUUAAAAACCCAUCUGCUGUCCAUAUUAUAUCAAUAGAAAGAAGUCUAAAAUUUUUCUAAAAUAUUCCGGUUACUCACUCCAUACUGCUGUCAUCUGUCUUUCAACUACAAGCCAUUUCUUGUAGUUGCACUCAAAAUCUUCCCUCAACCAACAGAUGAAACUCGUAGUUGCUAAAAGUGCAAAACUGGGAACAGGAUGCUAGAAAAUAGCAGUGCCUGCUUUUCAAACGUGUUUCUGAUAGUAUAAAAUACAUAAAUUGAUGCAAUAAUUUUUCCUUACUGAGUGUGGGAAAUAGUAAUAAAUUACUUUAAAAGUUUUCUCGUGUUUUUUUUUUUUCAUUAUGCUAAUAAUAUUUUGAAAUCUCAACAAUGUCUAUAAAUGUCUGAAUAUAAUUUUACAUGCAAAUAUGUAGUGUGUGAGAUGUAUGAUAAGCGCCGGGCACAGGGUGUUUGUAGGAAACAAACUGGUGCCUGCAGCAGCAGUUUGUUGUGGCUGUGCUGGAAUAACAGAUUCAAGGGAUCUUAUUUGUCAGUACCUCACCUUGAGGGACCCAGCGGGAGGUGUAGGGGCUGGGUGGUUAUGAAGCGGCAGCUGUUGAGGUGGCAGCAGAUGUGCCUGACGAAGAGCCAGCUAGAGCGCUGCGAUCCACAGCCAUAGGUGAGCUGUCGAGCUGUGUGUUGCAGUGCCCAGACCUGCUUCCUUCCCACCUUUCUUUAGGGGUGAUUAGGUGCAGACUUCAGCUUUUAGUAGUGUUGCAUCUCCACGUGCCUAUUUUCUCUAGGGAUUCUGUGGUGUUUUACCAGUUAAUGGUGCUGUUUUUCCCUUGAGGAUGCUAAUGGGCCCUCUCUUGUCUGUUCAAGCACAAAUUGGGAUUGGAAGGAACUUCUGGCAACGGUGGUGCAGUUAAGCUUGCUAUGUCUGUUAAAUCUCUUUAGAGAAAUUAGUAGGGAAGAGACAGGUACAGGCAUGCCAUUACACACAAUGUGGUUGCAGAUCUCUUUUACUGAGGAAACGAGGCUACAAAAGAUAUCUUGUGAGGAAGACAGAAUGUAUUCCUUUGGGAAUACUUGCUGAAUAGGAAGCUCUGUAAAAAUGGCAAAAUGUUGGAACUGUGAGAUACAAGUGAUUUAUUAUUUUCUCCGUGAUAAUAUCUGAAGGUUUCUGUGAAGAUGUAGGCUUCCUAGACUUGCAUCUUAAGGCACGCCCUAUUUACAAUGUAAGUAUCUCACAAGAUUAGGAGCGGUAAGAAACAUUAUCAUGGGAAUCAAAGACAGGUGGUGAGAUGCCUUCCAGUGUCAGAUCUAAAAUUCAAGGCAGCCGAGAGCGGAGUCCGUUCCUCCAUCCGCAUAAGGUAGCACUCCCAGCACCAGAUGUUACAUAGAGGUCAGCCUUGUGGCGCUGUGUGAGCCAUAGGCCCUACGCUAUACCUUCAGCAAACCUUGCACCAGUGAAGCUUUUGACAUAUUUGGAGUUUAUUACAUGUAUCUUUGCGCUGUGAUUCAGGCUUAAAUUUGUUUCAUUCUGAAGUUUAAAGGCCCCUUCUGACUUAAAGCACAUGGAUUUUUUUUUAAGAUUGAUGGAAUAAUGUUAGACGCUGCUAUUUUAAAAACUGUUGUUGCCUUGCAAAAGUGAAUUUCAUGUUUCUUUGUCUAAUAAUGUAUUCAGAGCACUUGGAAGGAAGUUUUGGAGUAUGGAGAUUUCUGCCCUGGGGAGGUAGUAUCCUGUGCUUUAGUUAGGUCAUGUCAGGCCAUUGUUUUGCUUUUCAUAUCAUAAAGAUCUUGUGUCUUUAUUCGCACUCAGCUGUGGACUUGAGUUUCCUGCAGAGAGUGAAAUAAUUAAGAACUAAUGCUAUGAAAUCGUAUGUCCUCCAUUUGUAGCUGGGUUUAAUUGAAGGCAAUUUUUAUAUACAUAGUAAUAAGUGAUGUAUAUAAGUAACAAGUAAUAUUUCUAUUUGUGGUGCUCAGUAUAGCUGAAACGCAGCCGGAUUGUUUUCUAUGUGAGAAAACAAACAGAGAGAUUCAAAGGUUUGUAGAACUUGGGUCUCUAUCCGCUGCCUAAUUUCAGCCCUGCCUGCCGGCUGCUGCUCUCCGCUUUGCCUCUGCUGGUAGAUCACGCCGGGACAGGGAUGGAGUUGGGCACAAUAGAUUUACUGGUCCAGAUAUGGCAGGGGAGUUGGCUGGGUAUGCUGGAGGGUUUGUCAGCAUAAGGAGCCAGUAAAGCGGGCUUAUGCAUGGGGUGCCAACGAAGGGUGUGCAGAACACAGAGCUUACUCUUAAAACCUGCUGUGGCUACGCAGAGUCGCGCAACCUUAAAUAUGGAUCUGGUGAGGAAGGGCACUCCUGGCUUAAAUUGAGAGCUUACGUUACUCUGCAGUUGUGGCAUGUAAGGGAGCAGCAACUCUCGAGGGAUUGCUGCUAAUGGGAUGGGCAAAGCCUCUCUGCCUUGCCUGUUAAGUCUGGGUUGGUGCUAAUGCCAGGGCUGGGGCAUGAACCUGAGUGAUGUAAGUAGUAGCAUCCACAGUCACAGCCUGGGGUGAGCAUGUGCCUGCUUUGCACAUCAGCUGGAUUUCCAUCAGGAUUUCUAGCACUGACAGCAGGACACUUUUCACCAGAACCAAGUUCAUCAUCAAACAGAAGGAGGCAUGCAAAGGGCAGUCUUGUUAAGUUUCACAUGCAUGAAGCUUUUGCUUUGGAAUGUGUUGUUCCAUUUCCUCCAAGUCUCCCUCGGGGAAACACCUGAUUUGGGUUUAUCCUGACUCUCCAGUUGUUACAUGCUACCUCAAGAUUGCAGCCACAGCUUCCGCCUGCACCAUCCUCUCCCUGGCUUCCCGCUGGUGCUGGGUGCAGCACAGCGGGUUGCCAGCAGAAAGCAGCCCUGGCUGCCCAGCCAAGGGUGCAGACGGAAAGAAAUGGCACCUGCUGCACUGCACAUCGGGGACAGGCCUAGCUGGGAGGAGUUGGCAGAGAUUGUGCUGAGGCUGUCUUCAUGGAUGGGGCAACAUCAGAAAGAGGUGCAACGCACAUUUGUAAGAAUAAAUGUGCAAAAUUGGUUCUUCUGGCUCCUCUUAUUGCAGACCAUCCUUUGCUGUGCAGAGGAUGUGCCCGUUGCGAGCUCUGAGCCGCCCUCAGCAGACGCUCUGUUACACUGUAGGUGCACAUCUGUGAUCUCAUCUUGAAAAAUACGACUUUACCUUCCACUUACCCUUCUGGAGACGGCUUGUCAGAGCAACAUGGUACCGCAAACUUAUCCUGCUUAAUGUCAGCUAAUUAAAUUCACUUUUGAAUAUAGUACUAAGCCAAUUUAAUUCUGUCUCUCAGAGCCUGCAGAGACGCUUGUGACUCUCGGAGGAGUUCUGUCUCUGAUUAGUGAUCAGAUCUCUUUGUGCCACUUCAGACUGUCUCUGUCUGUCUUUGUGUCUUUCACAGUGUGUUCUUAGGGGGCUGGGUGUUUUCCCCCUACUUUCACAGCCCCAACACGUGCCGUCAUGUCUAACAGCAUACUCCUUUUAAUGACAUUUGUUCUCUGAUACGAAACUUUCAUGGCUGUUGCUGGAAGAGAUAUAGGAUUUCUUGUGAAAUGCUCUGGAUGUUAGGUCUUGAUUUAGGAGGCUGUUUUUCGGAAGCGCUGAUCUCUGCAAGGACAGGGAUGUGGGUGACCUUCUUGCGCCGUGCUGGUGUCCCAGCCUCCGGAUGAUCGCUGCAUCGCAGCCCGAGCGCGACAGCCCCCAGUAAUGGUCACUGCCUGUCAUUCUCAAUGUACCUUGUGAUCGCUAACGUUCAUGAGAAUGAGGCACGGAAUUUAAAAAAGGAAUUAGUGAAAAAAAAAGUGAAAGGUCAAAGCAAGUCAUAAUGAGAAAGAGAGCAAAGCACUUAAUUGGGUAGUGCUGAUGGAAUAUAUCAUGCCAGUGACGAUCUGGUAGAUAUUUUUUGAUUCUGCCCUCUGCAUGAUUUAUUAAAGAAGGUCCAAGAGAAAAGUACUGCUUGUCUGUAGGUUUUCAUGCAGUAUUUUUCUUACUGCUUCCUUUGUGCAGCUUUGCACAGGGCAGCAUGUCGUAUCUCAUUUUGAACCCCUCCAUGCUGUCUGGUGGAGGGUACACGUACACUUCAAUGGAGGUUUCUGGUGCAGUGCAUCUUGUGUUUGUAGCUGCAUUUUCCUGCUCUCCUUGUUCCCCCUCUUUACUGAUUGCUUAUUAGUGUUAGGACAUCACAAGUGCAGAACUGAAUUGUUGUUCUCAGCCACGUAACUCUUGGUUACUGAGAAACUGCUGCUCCUCUUCAUUCCAGGAUGUAACCAAGGAGUGUUUGGAAACACUGCUCGAGAAGCAGCUUGCAUUGCUGCUUCACUACACUUGUUCUGCGCAGAGAAGAGACCUUCAGUGAAUGUGGAUAUCAGCCUGGUACAUUUUACAGGCAACGGAAUCAUCCAUGUUUUCUGUUGCCCAGUAAAGUACAGACAUGCUGUGGUGUCUGUAGUGUAGCUUUGGAUGUCACAAGAGAACUAAGAUAGGAGUUUUCUCACCUUUAUUGACAUAAUGCUUAACUUCUGACACAGGCAGAUGCCGGGAAAGUAAGACUUGGGACUGUAAUUCCUUUCUCAAUUCCUUCCAUUUUUUUGUGAGGAAAGGAGAAGAAAGAUUUAUUUCUUCAAGCAAGAUAAUGUGUUAACAGAUCAUAAGUUACUUUUUAAUUUUCAUUUUAAAAUAUGUUUUUCUGAAAGGCUAUUCAUAGGUAUGUACUUCUUUUGUAAUUAGAAGCUAUAGUUUUUUUUUCAAGAAUUUAUAAUAAAUUACAUAUAUCUGGAGAAUUCGUGAGGCUUACUACUUAGAUCUGAUUGUAGUAAACAAUUUGGUGCCUGUACCUAGCCAAUCUAACCAUGUUGGUUUAGGUAUUUUGUCCAUUUUAUGAGUUCUCAUUCAUUUUUCAAGUCAGCAAACAGUAUUUAUUGGAAGUGGAGAAAGUAUUGCUGAAACCUUGCUAAGUCCAAAAGCACAGCAAUGCCUUAUAGGCAUAUUCUAAACACCCAUGUCUGUAAGUUAUCUUCAUCUUUGUUGGUGUGAAUAUGCAGCGUGUGUUAAUGUGAACAUUUACGGUGCAAAAGAUUACAUAUUUUCUUCUUCAGUGUCAUACUUUAUUAUAAGAAAAUAAUACUUCGGGGUGAAAGAGUAACCAAUCUGUAGUUCAUUAUGUGUGAGUAUAGUUUUAGGAUUGCUUUCUGACCAGUAGACUCAGUUUUGAGAAGCAAUUGCAUGCUAAUGUGAGAGUGAGCUGACAGCAAACAAUAUAUUUCAGCUUCCAUUAAUUUUUUCUAACUGUGCCUAAUGUUUGCAUUUCAUUAAAAGUAGGAACAUACUGCGCAUGAAAAUGAAGGUCUUAAUUGAUGGCACUGGGGAUUACUGUCUAGCCUAGUAAAUAUACAGUUUGGACAAGAACUAUGUGUACUUUCUUACAAUUCUCUCUUUAUGUAGAAACUGUAUUGAUUUGUGUCUUUAGUCCCCAAUCCAUCCCCUACCAAGAUUUUAAGGGCUGGCUCUCCAGUGUAUUGCUGUCUGCACCAGCUAUUUCCAUCAUAGUCAGAGCCAUGUACUUAAAUAUCUCUUAUAUAAUUUACAUUUUCAGAUUUCACAAAGGCUUCUAGGCUUCUAAUUCACCCAGAAAGGCUUUGCCUUUGCUUUAAAGAGGUUCUUGUAGGACUUGCAAGUUCUGUCAAAGUGUAUUUUCAGAACUUUGGUAUUCUAGUCUUAGCAAAGGAAAGACGUUGGAAAGUCUCUACUCAAAAGAAUCUUUGUGAAAGGUCUUGAAAGUUGUCACAUUCAUAAGUAGUUCGGCCUCCUCUUAACAGCUGCUCCCCAGUGCCUUCUGCUCUAGAAGAAGUGCUUUUCAUUUUGAAGAGUUCUGGCAUUCUCCCGUGUGGUCCCCAAGAUCCCUCCAUCUCAACUGUGAGCAAAAAGGUGAUACGUGUUGAAUGUGCCUUGUGGACUUCAGAAUCUAGACCGUGGCCUUACCCUUGCUGAAUAAGAGGGUUAAGAACCUGUGAAGGAAUCUCAGCAAAAGGGUCCAGAGACAAUUAAACAGAGGACUCCAAACUUAGUCCAUGCAGGACCUCAGACAGUAUGGCUUUUGAAUGCUACCAAUCUGUAGCAGGCAAAACCUUAGUUUUGAACUAAUUCAUUAGACAUGCAUUUCAUUUGGUUCCUUGUGUUAUGAUUUAUUUGUGUUCAAGGUGUAGCUACUUUGUGAUCAUUCUUUUCUAUUCACGUGGUGAUUUAGGGCUUUUGUUUCCAAACACUCAUUUUCCAAGAUUACAGUUAGCAGACAACAACAACAAAAUGUUUAAAUAAAUUAUUCACCUGGAAAAUUCCGGUAGUUUUUUAAAACGUAAAUGAGGUGAUGUAAGUUACGUGAUUAAGUGCAAUCAUUAGGGAAAGACUGAUUAAAUUACUCCAAAUAAAUCUCCAAAAGAAUGAGUUGUGUGAUGCUGUAUUUUGCUGUAUUUUCCUGUUGAAGACAGCUAGCCAUUUUCAGCAGCAUCCUUUUAUGGUAAAGGUGCUACAGAUAAUUUCUUUGGGAGGGAAGGCUUUUUUUUUUUUUUUUUUUUUCUUCCCCCCAAGCCUUUAAUGAACGUGAAAUGGAAUUGGGAAGUAAAAUUUAAGCAGGUCAAUGGAAGGAUUCUAACACUGAAAAACGUCUAUUUUAAGGAAUCUCCUUUAUAAUGAUCUGAAUGUGAAGAGUUGGUGGUUAUCUACUCCUUAAAAGUUUUAAGUGUACUUUUAAAGCUGUCCACCAAAUCCAGAUAAUGCUUUCUAUUUCUUUUAUACUCAUGUCUUUCUGGUAGCGCAGAUAUGUACUCGAAUUCUAGCACUAAUAUUCAUAGCAGUUCAUGCUAAUAACAGAGAGUCCUCUGUGUCUGCUUUCUAGCAGAAUUCCCCAGGCAGACUUGUUCUGAAGCCCAUAUUGGUUAGGGCAGAAGUGCUGUGAGUUGUGCUGGGUGUUAGGCUGUAUUGGAAGAGCUCACAGGCAGUCGGUGCUGUUCAAACCACGUUCCCGUCUGUCCGUGCCAGGAUGUAUAUUCUUCACCUGCUGUCCUUCAGCCAGUGACUGCACUUGUUUUCAGCAGCCCCCAGCUGAAUUCACAUAGGUCUGUAAGCUACAGAAAGCCUGGAGUGGGGCCUUGUGGAGCACCUAUGAGUACACCUAAAUAUACUUUCUCUUCUUGUGGCUGCUUCUGUUUGCCAACUUAUGUUUGCCUGCUCAGAAGCAGUGUAAAUAGGAGAUAUGACGUAUUACCAUUGUGCCAUUGGAAGUAUACCCUUUGCAAGUAUAUAUAUUUUUUUCUUGUUUUCGACCAUGGAGUUCGCUCUUCUGACCUUAAGUUUGUUAUUAAAUACCAAAUGCAGAGUGUAGGAGACACUGACUUGCUUAGUUGGCAGAAAACGCAGAAGUAUUUGGUGCUGGAGUGCUGUGUGAUGUUGUGGCUGGCCAAUGAAGCGUAAUAAAUGCAAGAGCCAAGCCACUUUGGAGGUAUGAAGAGUCAGAGAAGCAUUAGAGUAAUUUAAAAAAUGUAAACUGUGGGUAAAAUCUAACAACAUCAUUUCUCUAAAGUUCUUUGUUAUUUACCAGACUUCCCUCCUGAAAACCUCCUACCCUAGAAUGAGAUGCAGUUUGCAGAGCAGGAGGAAGAUUGGUUUCUGUCUGGGGACACUCGGUUUAAAAAGACAGAACUCCGACUUUAUCUCUGAUGCGACUCGAGACCACUGUGGUUGUGUCUGUAUGAGUGUGCUCUGGGUGUAUUUUUGGGUAUCCUGUAAGUCAUUUUAUUCACACUUUCAAAAUGAGGGGACCCCAGUUAAUCUGCCUUAUAUAUCAAAGCUGGUUUUAUAGCUUUACAUAUAUUGCACUGUAGGGCUAGUCAAUAAAAUUUAAAAAUGAAUUUCUUAAUUCUUGCCCUCAUUUCACUCAAGGAGAUACAUGGUCCAAGCAAUUUUUCAUUUAUUUAGUGCUGCAGAUUUUAAGAUUUCCUGAACCAACUUGUUUCCAUCAGUUAUGGUUUUGCCAUUAGUUUUAGUAGGAAAAAGCUUUCCUAGCUUUUAAGCUGGAAAGUUGGUUUGUUUUUUCGCCAUCUACCUUUUCAGAGGAAACAGUGGUGCCAGUACAAUCUCAUUGUCCGUAUCUGCAUUUAUCAAAAUAUUGAACAACAGGCCCACCUAUCAAGUGAUUUUACAUAAUUAAAUUAUUACAAAUAACAUGACUGUAGUCACCGAUAGGAAAGUAAUUCUUUUUAAGAUCCUUUGAUGUCAAGAAAAUAGUUCAUGCAGGAGCUCCAAUGCUGCACCUUUUAAGCUGGAGAUUUUCAAUUAGAAAAAGGAAAAAAAAAAGGUUGAGCCCAGCUGCUAAUGCACUGGUGAAAGGUGAAAGGUAUUACCUGCUUGUUGAACACCUGGCAAAUGGAAAAGCUGUCCACCAGACAGUUACACUUUAUGCAUUGACAAUGAAAAUUUGUUGUCACUACCUUGAUUGCCUUCAUAGCGUGCCUGAAAUCUGUCCUGUAGCAGUGGCCAGAACAGUUUGGAGACAGCAGGGAUAUUUUCCUUGCCACUGUGAGUAGAAGAAUGACUUCUGUGAGCCUGAGAGGAACAUGGGUGCUGCUAACUCUAUGUCAAAGCACGUACAUGCGUUAGUAAAGCUUGAAGUAAACCUCUGAGUACGAUGAACAAUAUCUGGAUGUGUUAUGUUUUCAGGUGGGACCCUCUCCUGAUAUGUGACCUACAGCAAGCUACCCUGAAUCGUAUGAUGACAAUGUUAUCGCUGCCACAUCUCUGGAAACCAGUUACUCAUAAAUAUAUGGUAUGUGAACUUCUGCAUCUUACAUUAAGCACUGCUAGUUGGAGCAGCACAGUAACAAUAAUAUGAAGGUGCUAAAAGCUAUUGAAGUAAAUGUUAAGCCACAUGUAUAAUAAAUUACCGUCAGCCAUUCCAGCAGAUGUUUAUCUGCUAGGCCUGGUCCAUAUGCAGAAUGGUGAACUGUUUUAACUGCAAAUACAAUCUUGAAAAUGCAUUCAUUUACAGAUGUUGUUAGAAACCUACCGAUGUUUUUUUUGGAUGGAGUUAUACCGGUAUAACCAUGAUGUGCAGAUAUGCAGCCUGCUAUUCUCCUCCUCGAGCAGGAAGCGGUGGUGGUAUUGGCAUGAAGGGUUCUGUGCCUUAACUGUAUCGUUGCAUUUAAAGCACUACUAUUUUUGUGUUUAGGAAAGGCCUUUAAUUGCUUUUCUCCUUCAUUCCAUUUUCAGUUUCUGGUCAAUCUAAAUUAGAUUAAUUUCACACACAGUGACUCCCUAAAGAAGUGCAAAUUAACUCAAUUUUACCAAAUUCAGCCAGAUGAUGGCAGUUAUUCCCUUGCUGUUUAGCUGUACAUUAUACAGUCUUUGAAUAAGAUUUCUAUAGGAAUUAAAUCCAUAUAUUGAAUCUUUUUUCCUUAGCCUGUAAGACUAAGACCCUCACCUUGUGAAAGGAGGUUAUUUAAUUUCUAGCCUGCGAGGCAAAACUAGCCUGCUACCUGGCAUGUCUUUCUUUCUUACUCUUCUGAUUCAGGGACUGUAAAACCACAAGCAAACUGGCUUUAUGAGAACUGCUACAUGAUUGCUUUGUAUUCUGGAGUAGUUUUGUAGCAUACCACGUAACCAUUAGCAUGGAGCAUCUUCUGAUUUAUGGUUCCAGUCCAGCUCCCACUGAAGCUGGUAGGAAAAUGUUUCUUCAUGCUGAUGGGAGUUGAAUUGCACCGCAUGUGCCAUCUGAGACUUUUAAGUAAUGUUCCCCGUGGGAAAUUUUUUUUUUACUGAUAGCCACUUUUUUGAGAUCGAGUGUUAAAGAUAUAAGCAUAGAACAAAAUUACAAGGAAAGGAUUGUUGAAAUAACAUAGGAAAGGGCUCAGUGGAAGUCCGUGUGCAGAUUCAAGAGUUGUAAAUGGGUGAGGAGAGAUGACUGUUUGCCACAAAAGCGUUUAUCUGGAUUCUGUGUGCUGCAUUUUUACAUAUAAUUUGGGGGAUGUUUGUCAGAUGUGUGGCUGAUUUACUGUUAAUGUCAGUGAUGUAAGAGACAGAAAGUACAACAGAAGUCUUACAGGGAGUAGGGAGAGGAAAUUCAUGCUUCAUUAAACAAUUUGAUGUAUUUUGGGAGAGCCAUUCACAACUCAGAUAAUUUCUGAAUGUUCCGAUUAAUGAAGAAGUGACCAGAUCUGGCUCACUCUGGUUCUGCUUGAAGGGAACAUCCUGGAGAUUAGGUGGGAGAGCAUUGACCCUGCUUACACUGAAAGGGCUGCUAGUGUGUCUGUGUGGCCACCCAUGCAUGCCGAGUACAAUUAACACCAUAGUUUACAGAUUUUUUUCUACACGUUUGUUCUGACAUCUCCUGUAUCAGCCAUAUCUAAGAACCUUUUCAAGAUGAGCACAGGAAUAAUGAUUUCUGUUGCUCUUGUUUCUUCUGAGUUGAUUUAUUUUUUAGCACUCAAAAUUGCCAGUGGAUAUAUAUAGAUUUUGUAAAUAAGUCAUUUUGGUGUUUGUGGGCAUGUUUGUAAAGUAAAACUGGUUUGAAGAAAUAGAGUUUUGCAUUCUGUAUGGGCAGAGGUCUGGAGAGGAGCUGGUAGGCCAACUAGACUAGCUUCCUUUUGCCACCUUUUCCAAAGGUACCUUUUCCAAAGUAGAAUGGUUGUGUUUUGGUUGAUAUUUUCAUGAUUUUUUUAGGUGGAAGGUGGCAUAUCACUGGAAGAAGGGCCCUCUGAGGGGAAGGCUGAUGGGGAGGUGUGGUUGCUAAAGUGGUGACAGCUUGCAGAUCUGUGUGUUUGCUGGGGACGGAGAGGAAGCAGACACCUCUCUGCUCUGCUUCUGAUGAGCUGAGAACAAGGUGUGCUGUGUCUCGCACCUCAAGAGAACUUAUUAUAUGAGGUAAUUACCUCUACCCAAAUCAAAAUGAAAUUUCAUUUGUUGAAUGUAGGAAUCAGAAUGAAGGGUUUUUUUUGUUUUGUUUUUCCUUUUGUGUGUUUUGGUUUUCAUCUUUGGCUAAUUCUCAUACAGCGUUGCAACAGGAAACUAAUCUUCAGGAGCACAGCCCGUAAAAGAUAGGCCUUCUGAGGGACUGGACUCUGCUUAUUGCAGAGACCUUCCAAGACAGGUACAUUGUAAAAGAUUACAGACCUUCACAGGAAAUUAAAUUGGAUGUGAUGUAGUAAAAGAGUGAGAAAAUGGAAAGGACAUAUGUAGCACAUUUAUGAUGAUUAAGUGGUAAGAAAAUGAAAACAUACGAUGCAGUGAAGUGUAUGUAAUUUAGAUAUUGAUACACACUUUCUAGUAUUUUAAAUAAUCUGCCCCUCCUCUUCCCUUUGCUCUCUCUGUGUCAUUAUCUCAGUGUGGAAAAUCAUUAGCAUCUUGUAAAAUCAUGUUGAUUUGGGGCAUAUUAGGUUAUAAAGUGUUCCAAAACAAGUCUCAGUAGUAAUGUGGAGUGCUCUCCAUUGCAUCAUCCAGAGGAAGGUGUGUGGGGAGCCAAACUGGGAGUGCUGGGCAAGAGCUGCAAUCUUGGCUGGUGGCUCACCACGUGGUGAUAUGGUGCUGGUGGGACAAAACUCCCAGUCUGUCUCCUCCUCAGUGUCAGCUCAAUAGCGUGGGUGAGCUGGGCUCAUUCCUGUCCAGGUGCCUGUGGGCAGAGCACAGGUUUCCCUAUCAGGGAAUUCUUUCAAAGGGGACAGUAAUAACUUCCAACAUUUUAAUAACUUUUCUUAUAAGAUCUGGUUACCUGAAAUUGGAAAGGAUAAGCAGAACUCUGAGAGAUUUAACUUUAUUAAACAUCAUAAAUCCUUUCCCUUUUGACCCUAAUCAGUCCCCAGAGUCUUUUUAAUGCUCUUGACAUUGCACCGGCCUUUCAUCAUUGCACAAUAUACGUUUUCCUGUUACAAGGAAACCGGUGGUGAGAGCCCCACUUAAACCAGAGGUGAAGGCAGCAGCAGUAGGUUGGGCAGAAACUCACUGCCAGCAAAGAGAAGGAGGGAGCUGCACUUUGGCAGUACUCCUCAGCAUGUUCCUUCCAUCUGUGGAGAGGAGUGGAGGGGACCCGAGGGUGCCGGAGAAACCUCUCCCUGCAGUUUGUGAGAGCACUACAGACAACACAACAGUGCUUUUGUGCCUUGUGCUGGCACGGGGGCUAAACCUGCCUCAGAAAGCCUCCUUAUGAUUAGGCACUGCCCCACGUCCCCGGGGGUAGCAAGCAGCAGGAAGCACUCGCUGCAGGCCGGCCAGCUCAGCCCCAGGAGCUGUGGACAAGAAAGAGGUGGCUUAUGGCACCGGGAUGUGGGGACUGCCGGGCGGAGGUAUGGUGAAUGGGGCCCUUCUUCGCUGGGAAGGAGCCUUACCAGGUGGUCGAGGGAUGAGGAAUGAGAAACAAAGGCCUUCUUCAUAAAGCAGCUACCUGGGUUUCUGCCUUCCUGUCCAAGGCGCGCACAAAUCCUCCGGAAAGCGAAGGGGGAAUUCCCGGGCUGGUAGUCUGUCCUUCCUUGUGCUGUCCAGGAAUUCAUGUGAUGGGGAAGGCAUCCAAAGAAUCUGUCCCUAUGUGUAGGGAAGCUAAGUUCCCUCUUUUUCUUCCCUAUGUGCGAGUCAGCAAGUUUCUUCUGCAAAUGCCUUAAUUUUAAGCUUAAUGCUAUGCAAAUAUUUGGCUUUGGAGGUAAAAGCCUCAGGCUGGCUUCAGCUCACGGACUGGCUUCCAGCUGUUUCUACAGGUACUGAUCCAAUGUUUAUAUACACAAAUUGCUAUUUAUUUAUUUAUUGUGGUAACCUUUUAAAAGAAACUUGGAUAUUUGCCUAGCCUGUUUUUGCUUCAUACUUGAAAAUUGAUGUAUUUGCAAUGUGCGUACAGCCAUUUUCAGAAGCUUUGGCAAAACCCUCAGAUCUGCUGAAGAUAAUCGUGGUAGGCUGAAUCCUUAGAUAGCACAGAGUUGUUCUGACUGAUUUUUCCCGUAAAGAAGUGCCCAACACUUUGCUUACCCCUGGAAGCCCACCAACCUUGACUAGGAAACAAAGGUGUAGGAAGAGCUGGCACCUGCUGCAGGAGCUUUGUGCUGUAAUUUGGUUGUCUGGACAAGCAGUCACGGGGCAAGAGAACAUUCAGAAUGAGUGUCAAGAGUGCUAGCAAUACAUACGUUAACUAGGUUUCCAAAAUCUACUAAAAUGCUACCUUGAUGUAGAGCACAGUGUUCUAUCCACAUGUAUUUCACUUUCUCCAGCUCUCGUCUCAGCUCCUGCUUGCCUGCAAUCAGCCUCUUAUUAAAAGGGGAAAGUCCAUCGCCUUGUGGACCUUCUGCAAUGUGCUCAGCGUGUGAGCUAUUGACUUCAUAAAGACAAGAAUAGCUAUCUCAAAUGUGUUUCAUUUGCAUGUGGCAAGAUAGAAAAAGCAAACUCUGUGUGAAGACGAGCAGAUGAGAAAGACACUGAAUGCCUUAAAUGCUAAGGGAGUUAAUGCUAUGCAGUGAUUUUUGCUUCUGUUAUAGGAAGUGUAAGAACAGUACGCUUCCUAGCGUACAUCACCAUCUAAACUGCAAAGAUUUCAGUUCCAUGGCAACACGAGGAGCCCCAUGGUGCUUAAGGUGUACGUAUUAAUGCAUUCAGAGUUAGGGGCUGUUACUGAGAUGGUAAGAAUAAAACAUUCGGAAUAUCUCCCAUUUACUUAUUGAAGGCUUUGUUUAUAGAAAAUCAUCCACCCCCUCCCCCCCCCCCCCCCCGUAUUGUCUCCAGUCCUUUCUAUGUGUGUUUUUUUCUCAGACAAAAAGCAAAUGAAGCGAUUGUUAACUGGUGGUAUUUUUUCCAUAAGACUGUUCAGUGCAGCAGCACUUGAAAGUUGCAAGAAAAUGCUGUUGAUUUUUGGUACUGUUGUGUAUCUCUGGAGAGGAGGACUUGGUAGCAGGGGGGGAUUAUUUCUUCCCCAAGAUGUACUGCUUUAUAGACCAGAGUGAAGCAGUAUUUGGGGUUUUUUUAAUCAUUGUUUUCCUUAUUCUUUUUGAUCAGCCCUCUUUCUGCCUUUCUUUACAUCGACAUCCAGUUUCUCCAGUCUGAGGAGCAGGAAAUACGACUGAGCUCUGUUUCCUGGCAUCCAAAGAAAUAUACAAGUGCAAGGAAACAGAGUAUUUUGUUUCUGCCAGUUGCUUGGGUUUGCAAUGUGUCCCCAGUAAUGCACCUGGACAGAGCCUGAGUCCCCCUCUAGAGCAAGUGGGUGAGGGGCCAGGGAAGAACCCAGGCGAGCAGCAGGGCUAAGCUGGCACAGGAAGACUGACAGAAAUGGGCAAGUUGAACUGGUUUUACAGCUGUUUUGCAUUGCUGAAACAGGCAAAGCAGCCAGAGUUAUCGGUGGGUCUGGCCUGUAGAUUUCGUCAAGAUUUCUCUGUGUGACUGCAGAGAGAGCACAGCGCUGCAUUUGGAGGCUGGUUGGCUGUUUCCUGUUGCUGUGCCAGGAGGAAUAAAUUCAUCUCUCUGUUAUCUCUAUCUGUAUCUCUUUCUUUCUUUCUUUUUUUUUUUUUUUUUCAUUUGCUCACAACAGGAAUUUUUUUUAUUAAAAAUAAGGCUGUCAUUCACUGAAGGGGGAGGUUUUGCCUUCAGGAGUGCAGCACAACCCAAGUAAAUCCUUUCUGAGGACAUAAGGAGGAAUGAAAUGAUUAAGUGACACUGCACUGGCACUCUGCAGAGGGCCGAUUUCCACCCUUGGGCAGCAGAACCACAAAGCAAGGAGGUGUUGCAUGUACACAGCAUCUUCUAGGAGAGCUCAGCACUGGGAGCCCCGGCCAUGUGCUGAUGUUGCUUGUCCUUGUAGUUCUUGCUUAAAAAAAACCCACACAGGUGGAGCUCACUGACUAUGUGGCUGUACAAUUAAUGCAUGCUUGUCAAAUGACAUGGGGCCUCAAAUGAAGAGCAUUGUUCAUUCAUGGGCAUCUGUGCGUCAGUGUCCAACCCAGUGCAGCCUCUGGGUAGGCCAGAUGCUUUGGGGAGCACCUCAGUCAGUGUGGCAGGAAGGAUGGAGAGAAAGCACUGAGAAACUUCAAAGAAAGAAAAAAGGGAGGAGAGAAAUCAAGGGCAGGAAGAGAGAUGAGUGAGGAAACAGCAAAGGCGAAAGGGCCAGCGGAGAACAACAGGGGGCUGGGAAGAACACAGGGCAGGAAGGAGAGAAUGCUUUGGUGUGCUUGAGAAAAAAGUCAUUUUCAGAUGAAACGCAGACAAAAAGGAGCAAGAAAAUUACAGAAUGUGAAGUGGGAGAGGAUAUCAGAGUUGCAAAGGAGGAGGAUUCAAACUGAUACAAACAGAAAAUAUGUAUAACGUGUAUGGAUUGAUUUGAUGUGUUGGCCCAGCCAAUUUUAAGUAGCGACUGGUAAGUCUGUAGCAGGAAAGGGCUGUGCCAUUCUUCAUGAGGAAGCUUUGGGCUGGUAGGGAGCAGCAGGGCCAUGUGGGGAGACUGCUGCAGGUCCCAUGGCUGGAGCUGGAAGCGUAUCACUCCAUCUGCAAUGUUUGCUUCUUUCUGUCUCUCUCUGCAGGGCCUGGACUGCUGCCAUCUCCCUCCUUGGAGAGCAGGGUAGUGGAGCACCUGCCACCAAGGAGAAAAACUGCCUAUCUUGCCUUCAAAGGCUGGUGGCCAGAAAGAUGUGUCUGGUUGUCUUCUCGUUUACCUGAGCUGCUGUUAGGCAGGCAGGUAUAAGGUCUCUGUCUAUAUCCCUCUUGUGCAAGCUAUCUAGGCUACCAGAAAUAAACAGCUGAAUGGAAAUUUUACUUCUGGCUGUGAAAAGUGGCUUUUGAAUGAAGUCUACUUCAAAUAACAAAUGCCUUCUUUCCUCCUCCUCCUCUCCACCUACUUUGUUCCUAACCAUUAACUUUUCAUGUCACUUGAGCUAAGUUCAGUGUCAGACUCACCAGAUCCUACUGAAAAACACAUCUCUCUUUUGUGGCAAGCUGAAGAAGAUGAGAGGCUUGUGGUGUUUUUCCUUCUCAAUCUUUGCUCCUCUGGGAAAAGCAGCUAAGGCUGUGUGAAGCUGCCUCCUUCCCACUCUGCUCAAAAAUGCCUCUCCAUCAACUGCUUUGAAGCUUCUCUUAAGGAGGCUCGGCCUGGCCUGCUCAGUGCCAUCAUCUGCCAGGGGAGGUUUUCUCAGCUUGUGGUGGCUUCCAUCGUGGUAGAAGGCUGCAGAAGAUUGCUGUGGAAUAAGUCAUCAUCACCACUAGCUAUGCCAUUUGAAAAUCAUUACUUAAGCAUGAAAGAGAAGAAAAAGAUGAAACAUUAGGAGAUUUAAACCCUACCCAAAGCUCCAAAUAAUUUCUGCCAUUUCUGCUUUCUGUUUCCUAAUCAUAGGCUGCUUCUGCCAUGAGAGGAAAUGGCAGUCACUGGACAGUGGUGCUUGAAAUAUUCUGCGGCGUGCACUAAUACUUAUGGUAAAGAUGGAUGUAUUUAUGGGAAACAAAUGGAGAUCUGAGCUUUCCUGGGGACCUUAAUGGUAUUAUCUGUUAUAACUUACGUGCUAAUACUUGCUUAUUUUGAUCGGUGCUGAAAAACAGGAUCAGAAAAUAGAAUGUGGACUUUGGGUGCUGUCACACAAUGAUGAGUCAGCUGAAAUUGAAGCCAGUUCAAGGUUUAAGUAUGAUCGUUGAUGUUCUUGAAAAACAAAAUCUCUCAACCAGUCAGCAGCUGAGUUUACUUCUCAGCUGUUAGACAAAAGCCACCCUUUGCAGGGAUGCUGUGUGACAGAAGGAACUCUUUCCUUUUCCCUCACCUUGGCCAUUAGUCCAACAGUUAGGAAUCAGAUUUAACCCUUGGUGUUCGUUGCAGGCUUUGUGAGUCUUUUCCAGCAUUGAAAAAAGUAUUUUUGAUAGACACACUAGUUUGUUGAUUUGUUUGCAAUCAGUUUUCCCGGAGGUUGCUGUAAUGUGGGAGGAACUGAGUUCUUUGGGUGCAAACGUUCACUGCUGACUCUUCUUAGUCAUUAGAUGUUUUUCACAUUAAGGUGCUUUUACUUUUAUGGGAAAAUGUCAAGCAUCUUCUGAUAGUAGGCAUUCAAAUUGACAGAAGCCAUUGGCUGGGGCCAAUGCAGCAUCACGCCAGCACAGACCUCGAGGGGCCUGCAGAGCCCUGUUCCCACCCAUGCACCCCUGCUUUACCUCCUGAACCAGCCCUAGGUCCGACAUCCUGGUACCGACCUACAUCCAUGCUGAUGUGCCACCAAACUGAAAGAUGUCACUGUUCUUUUCCAAAAAGAACGUGUCUUUUUAUACAGUUCCCCUGCCAUCUCUUUUUAUUUUCUAACUGCAGCUCUUUUAAGGCUCCCUGCCUUUGCAGUUCUUGCCUUUGUUUAGAUUAUUUUUGGAAACUGGGGAACAAGAGGAGGGAUGAAGUUCAGGGGGCUGACUGUACUAGGAGGCCGAAACUCUUUCUGUCUGUGUGCUCUUCCCUCUUCUUUCUUCUCUCCAUGGCAGGGCAGGUUCCAGGGCACGCCAUGGCCUCAUGCACAAAACGUGGCUGGCACAUGUGCCGACCCCCCCUUCCUUCCUGGAACCACCAUCAUUGCUCUUCUGCUUUCCUGGGUCAGCUGGGCAAAAGGUUUGAGAGCUGUGAGUUUUGAGAGCUGUGGAAUACUGGGGAGCACUUGCACCUUAAGGUAAAUUGUAUGCAGAGAGGAAUGUGUUUCCUUUAUUAUUUUUCAGUGAGGCAGCCCCACAAAGGUUGUUGGCCUUUUCUUUAAGUAUUGUCGUGUUUUUACAUCAGGAGUGUCACACACUGGCUGCCAAGCUUGGCAAGAAAAUCUACAUUCUCUGGAAGCCUGAGGAACAGCAGCUGAAGCCCGAAGGCGGCUUUCUCUGCAUAGGUUUUUUAAGAUAGUUAGCGCUUGGGAAGUCAUUGGCUGUGAGAUAGGUCAGGCUGUCCUCUUGAUAGCUGAGACAGUACUCAGGUAAUUGAGAUACUUGUGAUUGCCCAUGGAAAUUUGCUGAUGUUUAUAAUACUGUCAGGCGCUAAAGUCACUCCCUAACAUUGGUUGUGGGAUCUUAUAGUGGAUCAAUAUCUAAGCACAAUGUGGGAAUUUUCCUCACAUACGUAUUUUUUUUUUUCUGUGGUUAUGAAGAUGCCUAAAUAGCAGUAUGCUGCAGUAAAUGUUAAACAUUAAAAACUGGUUCUGUGUGUACUGAUAAGAGUAAAUCACUAGAGAAGGAAGUAACCUGAGUUUGGCUGGUGAAGCUGAUGCAUCUAUGGUGGAAAUCAAAGUGGGGGAUGAUCACAGUCCUAAUUCUGUCUUUGGAGAAUAGAUUUGAGUCAACAAGAAGAGAGAAUGAAUAUGACUUUUCCCUGAAUUAAAAAGGGAGGGUAGAUGAUUCUGUACAAGAAGCUGCACAACUGAUGCAAAAAGUGAGCCAUAUGUAGGGAGAGGGUAAUCAACAGAACAUGAAAUACUCUUUGAAAAUACAUUGAAAUUGAGUGUUGUUUGUUGUUGUUGUUGUUGUUGUUUUUAAACUGCUGUGCUGUAGCAGAGAUCAGUUAAUUCUGUGAUUCUGUGAAUGGUUGUGCAAAGUGGUCGCUUAGAGGAACCAUAGAAUCAUAGAAUGGCCUGAGUUAAAAAGGACCACAGUGAUCAUCGAGUUUCAACCUCUCUGCUACAGGCAGGGUUGCCAAGCACUAGACCAGGCUGCCCAGAGCCACAUCCAGCCUGCCCUUGAAUGCCUCCAGGGAUGGGGCAUCCAUAAUCUCUUUGGGCAACCUGUUCCAGGGUGUCACCAUUCUCUGAGUUAAAAACUUGAUCCUAAUAUAUAACCUAAAUCUCCUGUUUCAGUUUAAAACCAUUCCCCCUUAUCCUAUCUCUAUCCACCUUCUCCUAUCCCCCCUUGUCCUAUCACUAACCAUCCUUCUCCUGGCAUUCCAUGGUGGAGCAUGGACGCCCUGUCGGCAGGAAUUUAUUGUCACCCACCCCAGUGCUCAUGGCUGGCGCUCAGUGAGGUCUUCUGGGGCUAAUUAUUUAUUUAAUGAGGAGUGGUCACAGUGGCACUAUGAGAAGGGCAGCCCCGCAGCAGGAGGUGUCUUGGAGGUAAUCCCACUGCUCACAGAUAGGCUUCUUGUGCAUACUAUAAAUAAAUAAAGUAAUGAAUAACUGUAUGUUGGCAUUUUUGUUUAAGCUUAUUAACAGUGGCUAAUAGUAUUGAAAGUGCUUUGGGUACUACCAUGCUUUGUAGUUCUCUAAUUUCUUGAAGAAGUAGUUGAAAGGCUUGAGCAGCAAGUUAAGAAAUCAGGUUGCUGCUGACUGAACUUUUGAACUUUUCCUAACAAAAGGGUAGGUCCGCGAGAGAAGAGUCAAAUUUAUGUGUGUGUACACAUGAGCAGUCCAGAUGAUUUCACUCCAAAGAGAGAAAUCUUCCUCUUUUUAGGCUAAAUAGGCAUGACAAUGCUGCUCCUUAGUUCCACGUGUUUCAAAGGUAACAGUGAGUGCUGGUGAUUCAAGGGAGCCUCAGGAAGAAAGGAAUUUGAGCGUAACUUAAGAGAUAAAAGCUAUUGUUUGACACGAGAUAUUUGGAGCGUCUCUACAAGAUUUUAGAUUGUGUGUUGGUUCAGGAAAGAAGAGAAAGCAAAGCAAUGAAAUCCUGUGGUUAUGCUUUUAUCAAUACAUUUGAUUUUUUGGAAGAAUGCAUUCUGGGUCUGAUCCUCAUCUUCUUUCCCAAUUACUGAUUAAUAAGAAAUAAAGUCUUGCAGAGAAAAGCUUUCAUGCUUUUAAAUUUCAUGGUCUGUAGCGAAGGACAAAAUGAAGAAAAGAAGAAGGACAAAAUGUUUUGAAAAACAUGAGAAAUGGGCAGUUUUGAUGUACCAGGCACAGCUCAGGCUGGGCUCAGUCAGUGCUGCACUGCAUUCACUGACUGCCAACUGGGCCCAUUCCCCUUCAGCCCGGUGAGGUGGCAUCCUGUGCAUGCAGUGUCAGGAUGUUCCCUGCCUCCCCCUGCCCUUCCUGCAAUAUUUUAAUUUCACUAUUCCAGCCGAGCAGAAGCUGUCAGCAGCAGCAUCUGGAGCAGCCUUGUCCUCGAGUGAGUGGCUCUUCUCUCUGCUUCAGGGCAGACAGCGGCAUUGGCAAGGCUGGAGCAACAGGACUUGGAUUUUGGGAAGUUUUAAGCUGGUUUAUGCCUGUGUUUUAAUUGUAACAUUUGACUGUAUUGAAUAUAGGAACUGUUCUCAGCAGGUCUUUGUAUGCGUGAGGCUGUUUGAGCUGGAAUCCUGUGUUACAUUGCUGUAGGUGGAUGCUGCGAUGAGGGUGGUAAAGGAGAGCAUCUUCCCUCUGCUGCCUUUCCCCGCUCCCCGCUUUCUGUAAUCCCCAGUCAGUCUGUGCCUUCCCUGGCCAGACAGAAUUACAGUAGGUAUACACUCGGAAUCGGGUUUUUAUUGUCAGCACCUGUGAGCAAUCAAAGCUUGUUUGUGCAAAUUCAAAAUGAAACUUCAAUCUGAAAUGGGUGUGAUUUCAGAACAGCUUGUUUGCAGCCAUUGUUACUCUUUGCCAAGAAAUAUAAGGCUUUACAGUAACUCCUAGGUAUUGCUCUAGUUACUGUGCACUAGAAUAAACCCAUCAUGUUUCAUGUCUGACUUUAUUUGGUCCCUUAAAGCCUAGUGGCAUACAUAUGAUGCGAGCAGACUCAUGAGACUACUGCAGCUGUAUUAUUUUUCAUUACCGUGUUCUAAAAAUUCAUGUUAAGAAUUUUGGUGAAGAAUGGAUCAUUGACAUAUUUUUAGUUAAUAUCUUGGAAUAGGGAAGUACACCAUCCUCAACUUACAGUCACUCAGCUGUGAACGAGCUAGAUACGGAGUGGACCCAGAGUGAAUACAGAGAAAUGAAAAAUCCUCAGAUCACUUAGUUGCAGCUGCAGAUGAGAUUUUUGCCAUCAGGUGAUAGUUCCAGAAUCCAGGUUCCCGGUGUGUAAGAAGAACAUCCUUACUCUGAUGGUUUGAUUUGCUUUAAAACUUUGACAUAAGAACUGUUGUUUACCGCUAGUAGUGCUACCAACUGGAACCAGGGUAGACUGUUACACAGGUAGUAGUAAGUUGACAUUUAACUAUAAGUAUACUUAUUUCCAAAGAUAAAAAUGUAGGCUUUUAUGCUUAAUAUCUGAAAUAAACUCACUUCCCUCCACCAAUUAUUACUUACCUGAGAUUUCAUCAGAGGUGUUUGCAUGCACAGGGAGAUGUCCGAUUCAUACUUUCAUAUGGAAAAAAUAAGUAAUUAUGUAGCCUCAGCAGACUCUAUUUCUAUGGUGUUUUAAUUUCACUUUUCAAUUAUAAUCAGUAUUACCUGUUUUGUCACUGCUAGCAUGAGAAGAAAAGCCCUAAGAAACUGAUGUGCAGGCAAAAGGAGAAUAGCAUAACUAUUUUUAUGUUCCUUACAUCAGUGUCCCGGUUUGUCUAAUGUUGUAUGGCACAGUGACUCCAGUGCUCCACACUGUUCUGUCCUCAGUGAGCCAAACAUCUAUUCCAAGAUUGCUGUCUGCUUCACAAGUUGUAGAAACUUUCGAAAAAGAAUUUGCUAAUUUGGGGUGCUCAUUCAUUGUCUGCUUGGAAAGCUGAUUGUCUCUAUGUUUUCAGCAAACAAUAUUCUUACACUAUCCUUACAAUGUCCUUACAAUAAUAUGUAUUCCUAAUGGAAUUCUUUUGGUCAGCAAGGGAGAAUUCAUCUGCUUAGGACUUCAGAUGCUUCAAUUCAGAAAACCAUCAGGAAGCACUGCUGCACCAGGGCACCUCUUCAUUCAUUUAUGCUUAUUUAGCUGGGUAAUGACAGUUACCAUUGUGAUUCCCCUUCUGUUCUGUACCUUUCUUCAUUUUUAUUUCCUUGCAUUGAAAAGCACUACAGUGUUACUACUGGGAACAUCCAGCACUGUUCCUGCCAGUCCCUUAUUUUUCCAUAUGCCCUUUCACCUCAGAGAGAGCGCCAUCACUGCCCAUCCGUCAUGUCUCCCAUUCAUACCUAUUCUGUACAAGGUUUGCUGGGUUUCUUUUUGUUUCAGGAACACGGGCUUUUGCAAAGCCUGUUGGCUUCAGAAGCACUUGCACAACUUGUACUACGUCUACUAUAUCAGAACCGACAGAACUGGCAGCUCUUUUAAAAAACAAAAACAAACAAACAAAAAAAGCCCCAAAACAGGUAAACCUGCAAAAAAAAAAAAUUAAAAAAAACCCUCUUCCAAAUGGAGUAAUAUGCCUGUUAUAGAGAAACAAAGGCUUUUGACUCUUCCUUGUUCAGACAGCCCCUUGGAGGUAUGGAUUGCUUCCCCUUAAUGAGUAUUGACCGGGUCUGGGAGACACAGCACCGGGAUCUUCCAGAUGGGUGCCUGCUGGGGUUAACCCCUUCUGCAUGUCAGCAGGAGACUGAACUUCCAAGCACUGGGUUCCCAGCCAUUUGAAGGCUGCUGGGCUGCAUGCGCUGAGGCUCUGCAGGUUACGGUGUGCCUGUGGUGUGUGAUGGAACAGGCGGGAAGUGCUGGGCUGGGGCACCCCGGGACACCACUGGAUGUGUCUGCUCAGGGCUGUUAAAUUAGGCCACGUGCACACAUAUAUAUGCGUGAGGGAAAAGUGGGGGCCUUGCAAAGCACUUGGGCUAAAAAUAAUGUCCGGUGUUGUUUUUACGUAAUAAUGCUAUCACAGAUGAAGAAAGUGAGGGAGGAGUUUGUAGCCUGGGACAUUUCUUCUUUCCUUUGCUUUGCAGGGUAAACGCUAAAGAUCCUGGAGUGUUUGUUUGGCUAAGUAAUGCUUUCCAGAAGUAUGUCAAUGAAGUAGUCAUUGAAGUCAUAGAAUACCUUCCUAUAUUUAGCAUUUAAAUAUGCAGUAGAAAGCCAUUAACUUUUAAACUCCUAAGAACCGUAAGCAUUCCUGCAAAGGAACUCAGAUGUUCAAGUGAGCCAAUUAAGGAUACGGAUUUUACUACUGCCAGAAUAGUGCAGUAAGUGUUGUGCCAUCAGUGGUUGGGGUAAGCUCAGUUACAUCCUGCUGAGUGUGGUUGCUGUGAGGGCACGUGCAGUAUCCUCAAACUGUUGAAGGGGCAGGAUUGCUGUGGGGUUAUCACUUGGUUAGUUAAUUUGGAGGACCGUGCUUUUCCCUAGAGAUUGAUACUAAAAAAUCCAGUUAUGCAGACCCGUACAAUAGUUUAUGUGAGAAAGGAAUCUCUGGGCAUCUUCUUUCCAGCCCCUGCUCACAGCAGGUGCGUGGUUUUGCAUGUUGUCGUUAUCUCACCUGCAUGUGAUCGUGAUGAUUUAUGCAAGAAAGAUUAAUUAAUCAGAACUUUUUUUGUGUGUGCAUGUGUAGACAAGAGGCAAGUGCCAAAGAGGGGUACAAACUGAGUCCAAAGUGUUUUACAGAGGUGGUGGAGAUGGCAUUGAAGUGCCACCAAAAAUCCCACCCCACUUAACACGUAUGAGUGCUCAUACAGAAGGCAAACAUCGCUCUGGGGUAGCACAAGGGACCUAAUUGGAACAUUUGUAACUUAAUUUUAAAUCGUUGUUGUCAUUGUGGGUUAAUAUACUGAAGGAAUCAGUAAAUAUGCUGAAGAAAUUGGUAGGUAGUAAAAGCGAAGGCUAUACAACAGUUUAUAGCCAGUGGUUCUGUUUAGGCUUAAUCCCCGUAAUGCCGUGUUAAAAUUUACAAAACAGCUUGUAAUUGCAGGAGCUUAUUUAAACCAGCUAUUUGUGGUUAUGUCUGCUGAGGAAACUUAAACUUCAGCGUUCCCCAGCCAUCUAAUAGCAGCAAAUUGACUGCGGGUCUCUUGUAAGAAUAUCUAAAUGUAGGCUGUUGAAUAAUCCCUUUGGGGGCCCUGUAACUAUUUUUGUGCCUGGAUAUGCGUCAUCAGUGGGUAUUUUCUCUGGUGACUAGCUUACAUCAGUAGGUCUCCUACCAUACACUCUAUCAGCAAGUGACUUAUGAUUGAUGGGAGUCACGGCCGCGCUUGGGCAUUUAUCUGUGACCUCAAAUAAUGGACAACGGGAAUCUCCACGCUGUUAAAUCCCUUCGAUGACGGGAGGACUAUUUACUUGAGAAGCUGAGAGUGAGCUAGAAACAUUGAUGAAGCCUCUAUUCUGUGAGGUGGAGGAGAGUGUGGACAGCCGUAUUUGCUGGAGUGGUGAACCAAAUUGCCUUGACUGGAACCAUUAUUCACUUGCACCUUUGACUGCAGCAGACAGGUAGGAGAACAAGGAAAGGAUGGGUUCAAAUGAACUUGGGGAGCAGGCCUCAGUGAAUAUUUUUUUGUUCUCAGAGGGCUUCAACCAGAAGUCACUCACACUUAAAUAGUAACUGAUUACAUGUCCUUUUGUCACCUCUUGGUGAAACCAGAGGCAUCUCUCUUUCUGGAAAGGUUAUGUUUUUAUUAAUUCAGAAGUGCUGUCUUUGCUUUGACCAUAUAUUUGGUUUGCCACUUUCCCUUCUUUGUGCAGUUCUUGCUUCAAGAGUCCAAGGAGCACGCUUUUUGAAAGAAUAGGCAGAAAAAUGUACUUGUCUAAAAUAAAAGAAAAAAAUGGUGGAUGAGGUUUUGAUAUCUGAAAGAGGUAUUGUGGUUUCUUUUUUUUUUUUUUUAAUUAUUAUUUAAUUUUUAAAUGGCCUUGAAUUAUAAUCUGGUGAUCUGUUUGGAUCAUCUCACCAUUUCAAGUGCACCAUUGAUGAUACUGUGAUUAAGGUUUCUUUUUUUCCUCUGGGUCUUGAACACGUGGGUUCAUGCAAACUACAGUUGUGAAAAUGAUGACAGUGUAGUAUCACAAUACUCAAGUUAGCUUACAGUUAGCUGAUUCUCCGUAGCAGUUAUCUAUGACAUUAUAGACUACAGAGGCCAGUGUAUGCUGUCCGGAAAAGCUCUGUGUUCUGCUGCUCAUUGCAGCUCCAUGUUUGAGUUGGUAGUUACAGGUUGGACAGGUUUCACAUAAGCUUUGUCUCAGGGCCUGUACCAUAAAGGCAGAGUUACUUUGUUGCAAUACUGAGAAUCUCCUCUUCUUUAAUCUUCUGUGUACUGGCACAUCCUUGGUGUUCAGAGAGUUAUGUUAGCCUUCUGAAUUUAACAUGACUGACUUAAAAUAGUGAAAAGUUAGGAAAAUAUUUCAUCCUUCUCAUUGGCCCUCUCUGUUUUACAUUUUUUACCAUUUAUAUGUAACCCCGAGAGCUAGACAUGUACAGAAGACAUCAGAUGUUCUCAUGCUAUAUGAUGAUCUCAGGAGAAGGUGUUUAAAGAAAAUGCAUAGUGUAUUUUGACAUAAAACUCUAUUGUUUUUUCAGAACUGUAAAUGGCAUUGGACCUAUAUUUCAUUCUGUAUGAACUGAAGGAGGGAGUGGAGGGGGUUAAAUUGAAAUGGGCUUAAACCUUUUCUGAUACCUGGAACUGGUCCCAAAUAUUCCACAGUCCGCAGUGGUGCUAUAUGGGAUAUUUCUUCCUUUGGAUCCACAUCAAAGUUGUGUCAAUCUGCAUCGCUCUAUUUCCCCUCUGCAGUCUCUGAGAGCUGAGACAUCUUCCCAUGUAGCCUAGGAUCAGAGCUGGAUGAGAAGAGUGUUACCAGGGAACAUGCUGGCAAAAGCAAUUCAUUGUCCUCGCCUGUAGAAUUUACAGUGAAAGUUCAGCAGGGAAGCAAACUGUCCUGAUGCACCCCCGUGCUCUGCUCCCAGAUUGGGAAGCAUUAAUAGUGUGUGAAAUUUAUAAGAAGGAGUUUUGGAAUACUGCAGUAUGAAAAACUAGCCAUGUCCCAACUCACCAGGCAAGAUUUAAGUGUAAAACUGAGAACUUUGGUGCCCAUCCUCUAAAAUGGGCUUCGAGCAUUGAUUCUUCAGGUUUCAUUAGUGUGUAACGUAAUGGUACUUCUACGCAUUGGGCCCUUGUUGCUGUGGCUCUCCUGUAUGCUGAAAAUUCCCCUUAUAAUGUGUCAGCCUAGUAAUGGUCUUUACUUUUUCAUUUGGGACUGCUGAACUUCAGAAUAGAUGCUCUCAAUUAACAUAAGUCAGAUAAAUGUUAUUGUAACUGUGAUAGUACAUAUCACUACUGUGUGUGCUAAGGACAUUAAAGCCAGCACUUAAUACUGGAAGAGUAGUAAAUAUGCUGUAUGAGCUAAUGGACAGCUCACAUUAAGAAACUGAAGCCUAUAUUGCCUGCUUUAUGAGUGUGAACUUGCAGUUUGAUCCCACUGCUAGAUGCAAGGCGAUAGGAAGGCGCGUUUCCCCUGAAGACAGCAGCACGCAAUGCUGCCAAACCAGCAGUCCCGGGUGCCCUGCAGGGUAUGAUUCUUGCAGCAGAGAGCGAUUGCACAAGCUGUGAUGUGCAGGACUAGCUGCUCUAUUUUGGCUGAGAAUCCUUUGAGGAUAUUGGUCCCGAUUCCCUACUGUCUGAAACCUUUUGCUAUUUAUACCUGGGUAAAGUGAAUGCCUGGCGAGCAUAAAAUGCCACUACGCUAGUGCUAAAGGAGCUGUUAUCCACUUUGCCCAAAUAUAAAUGACUAUGCAAAAGGUGAAGCAAGUUCAAGGUCUCUCUUUUUGUUAUAGCAUUACCCCUAGAUCCUGCUGCUCGUGGCUGAAUGUGUGAACAGGAGGCUGUGCUUCAGUGGUGGUGGUUUCAGCUCAAGACGUGCAAAUGCAGCGAGAAAGAAGAACACUCAUUUCUUUUCCCACUAUUAGUCAGAGAGAAAAACACGUUUCUUCUUCCCUGAGAAGAGUACAGGGGCAACACAUUUAUUUGCCAGUUUUCUGACAGUCUGAGGUAGAAGAAAGAUACUUGAAAACAUCUGGCAGAGGCAGAAAUGGACACUAUGACUUGCAGUCUCCCUGCACUCGAUAGUGGGUAGUGUAUUAACAUGCCGCGCAUUGGAGAGACACAGUCCUUGAAAUCCUCUGACACUGCAAGCUACUGCUUUUAAACUAGAACAGAGACAGAUAAGGAUAUUGUGAAGGAGAAAUCCAGCAUUGCAUAUUGUAAAACUGAAUCCUUAAAAAAAAAUUUGGUACUUUUGGCAGUGUUUCAUUUAUUGUAAAUAGAAUCCAUAUAUAUUCAUAGAUAUUUUCAAUAGAAUGUAGUGUACUGCUGUUUCUGCUAUCUAAGCAAAUAUCUUGCUGGAGUAAUUUAAAAACAGAUCUGCUUCGUAGCCAGCACUGCACCAAUUUAAUAGUAAUACUGACCCGUGUUAGAGAUCCUGAGCCAGAUUUUGACAGCUGUAAACCUGCUGAAAACAAUGAAGACAUUCAUGAGGUUACCUAGCACAGGUAAGGACAUCGGAAUCUGGCUCUUUCUGAGUAGAGCUGCUUGUGAAUCGUGUUCUGCCAUGCACUCUGCUGUGGAAAGACCAUUUCAAAAAGCAAGGGAUGCAAAUCAUAGGGAAUAACAGGCAUCAUGAAGAAUAAUGCCUAGGUAAACCUCCAUUUAUGUGCCUAUCCAGUUUAUUUAAAUAAUCCACUUUUUGCUGCAGAUAGGAUGUCAUAAUGUUGUUAACAUUGAACCACACCUGGUGGGAUUGUUUUUACGUACCUUCUAGUACAUGUAUACACCUUUUCACGUGCACAUUUCCCUCUGUC